ACGUAGGCCCAGGAUGCGAUAUCCUGCCGAGUUAGUUUCUUUUGUUUUCUGUGUCUCUUUUCAGCCAGUGUUUGAUGUUUGAGCAGCGUUUAGCAACCUUUAUCCUUCCUUUUGUGCGUGGAUCCCGUCGAGUACGACGGAUGCGUAGGGGUGCUAAUACCUUCCCUUCGCAUAACCGACUCCCGAUCCCAUCUCUCUCUGGUCGCGAG
rnacentral:lncRNA from 1 species